UGAGGGGGAUAUUGCACAAUGGGCGCAAGCCUGAUGCAGCGACGCCGCGUGAGGGAAGACGGUCCUCUGGAUUGUAAACCUCUGUCUUAUGGGACGAAAAAGGACGGUACCAUAGGAGGAAGCUCCGGCUAACUACGUGCCAGCAGCCGCGGUAAUACGUAGGUUGCAAGCGUUGUCCGGAUUUACUGGGUGUAAAGGGCGUGUAGGCGGAGAUGCAAGUCGGGAGUGAAAUCCAUGGGCUCAACCCAUGAACUGCUUUCGAAACUGUAUCCCUUGAGUAUCGGAGAGGCAAGCGGAAUUCCUAGUGUAGCGGUGAAAUGCGUAGAUAUUAGGAGGAACACCAGUGGCGAAGGCGGCUUGCUGGACGACAACUGACGCUGAGGCGCGAAAGCGUGGGGAGCAAACAGGAUUAGAUACCCUGGUAGU
rnacentral:rRNA from 1 species